rnacentral:rRNA from 1 species
GUGAGGAAUAUUGGACAAUGGGCGCAAGCCUGAUCCAGCCAUGCCGCGUGCAGGAAGACGCAUCUAUGGUGUGUAAACUGCUUUUGUACGGGAAGAAACACUCCCUCAUGAGGGAGCUUGACGGUACCGUAAGAAUAAGGAUCGGCUAACUCCGUGCCAGCAGCCGCGGUAAUACGGAGGAUCCAAGCGUUAUCCGGAAUCAUUGGGUUUAAAGGGUCCGUAGGCGGUUUAAUAAGUCAGUGGUGAAAGCCCAUCGCUCAACGAUGGAACGGCCAUUGAUACUGUUAGACUUGAAUUACAAGGAAGUAACUAGAAUAUGUAGUGUAGCGGUGAAAUGCUUAGAUAUUACAUGGAAUACCAAUUGCGAAGGCAGGUUACUACUUGUGGAUUGACGCUGAUGGACGAAAGCGUGGGGAGCGAACAGGAUUAGAAACCCUGGUAGUCC